CAAUAGCGUAUAUUAAAGUUGUUGCAGUUAAAAAGCUCGUAGUUGGAUUUCUGGUAGGAUGACUGUGCCCUCAGUAGAGUGUGCGCUGGCGUCUUGCCAUCCUUCUGUUAACCUUUGGGAGCUUCACCGCUCCCUUUGGGGCUCAGAUAUUUUACCUUGAGAAAAUUAGAGUGUUUCAGGCAGGCUAGCGCCGGAAUACAUUAGCAUGGAAUAAUGGAAUAGGACUUUUGCCUCUUCUGUUGGUCAUGGGGUUCGAGUAAUGAUUAAUAGGGAUAGUUGGGGGCAUUAGUACUUCACUGUCAGAGGUCAAAUUCUCGGAUUUGUGAGAGACUAACUUAUGCGAAAGCAUUUGCCAAGGAUGUUUUCAUUAA
rnacentral:rRNA from 1 species